UACAGAGGUCUCAAGCGUUGUUCGGAUUCAUUGGGCGUAAAGGGUGCGUAGGCGGCGCGGUAAGUCGGGUGUGAAAUCUUGGAGCUUAACUCCGAAACUGCAUUCGAUACUGCCGCGCUUGAGGACUGGAGAGGAGACUGGAAUUUACGGUGUAGCGGUGAAAUGCGUAGAUAUCGUAAGGAAGACCAGUGGCGAAGGCGGGUCUCUGGACAGUUCCUGACGCUGGGGCACGAAGGCCAGGGGAGCAAACGGG
rnacentral:rRNA from 1 species